rnacentral:lncRNA from 1 species
GCUUAGGUAGAUUUAGAUCUGAUAUCUAGCAUAUGGAGUUAAAGGGUUUAACCUAUUUUAUUUUUCGUUGCUUGUUUUCAAAGUUUUGAAAUCUACACAUAUUGCCUUCCUAGUUUUGUAAUAGGUCCAACCAUUAACAUAACAUACCAAGUGCAUCCAACAAACAGAUGUCUAGGCCCGAGUAUGGCUCGAAUAACCUGAGCAUUGAUCUGAAAAUAUAUCAUGAUGGUCAUAUGAUGAAUGACAAUUUCAACAUGUAAUAGACACCAAGCGUGUGGCGCCUCCAAUACC